rnacentral:rRNA from 1 species
AUGAGCAUGGAACCAUCGUCAUGGGUGGUACCUUGCUACUCGGGCUGGUCCAUGGAAGAAGCAGCAGCUGCGUGGAGUAGUGAAGAUAGGAUUAGCUUCCAAACAUCCUUGCCUAGCCAUAGUGAUAGCGUGCAGCUGCAAGUGGUUGAGUAUGCAUCCCCAGCCACACCCACACAUGAUACCUGUAGUGAUGCGGACCAGGUGUUCGAGGAAGCAGCGCAAGUGUUCAAUGAUGACUACUUUCUCAUUAUGGGAAAGAAGAUGCACAGGUUCCCUCCAAGCCUGGUAGAUGUUGGCGAUCGGUACAGGGUGCCGGUGACUGUGGCCAUUGGCCCUUACCACCAUGGUCAAUCCGGCCUGAUGGAGGCGGAGCAGGUAAAGCAUGCGGCUGCCAACCAAUGCAUCAGGGACUCGAGCGGCUCACUCCAGGAGAUGUACACUAAGGUCUCCUCCGUCUCAGACGUCGCCCGCAAACUCUACCGCCACGAUGAUGUGGCGACAUUCGGCCACCGUGAGGACUUUGUGCCGAUGAUGUUCCUUGAUGCUUGCUUCUUGGUGCAGUUCAUGCUUAGUUAUGUGGACAGCUACGUCGUCAGCAUGGAUAUGGCACUGAACAGGUAUUUCUGCGCCAACUUCGAGCGCAUCUCCACCGACAUCAUGAUGCUUGAGAACCAGAUCCCGUGGGUGGUGGUUGAAGCCAUCUUCCACUUCAUGCAUCUAGCGCCCUCGCCCUGGCCUUGGGAGGACUUCGUCGCUGCGAUGAGAAGUGGCCUGAAAAACCGAAUUGAUCCUGGCGUCGACCAAGGCAUCGUCGUAGUUCCUACCUAUGAACCGCCGCAUCUCCUCGGCCUUGUCCGGUACUACAUCGUGGGGAACAACGACGACAUCAAAGUCGAUCGCCCCACUGCUCCGAGCGGAGACAAGCCCAUGUCGUUAUCCAUCAGCGUCGCCGAGCUUGCCGACGUCGGUAUCACACUCGUACCCGAGAAAGAAAAGUCAGGGUUAGUGCACAUGACCCUCCAAAAGAAAAGGUUAGUGGACACGGGCCUCGGCGGGAAAAAGUUUGGCUUCUUAUUCGGCGAUCUCCGCGUGCCACCCCUGUUCCCUGGCAUUGGCAAGAACAUGCGCCUCGGAAAGUGCUACAUCGACAUAAUGAUAGAUAUAGAGAACUUCAAGGACAGGAUGUCAUGGGGGCUCACAUCUUACCUCUUCCUUGACAAGCACUGGCCUAAAAUCGUGGCGGUGGCCACGAUCAUUGCUGCAGUUAUUGGCAUCUUGUCGUCGCUCCAAGCUCUCAAGCCACACUAA